AAAUCGAAAACCCCCAUUAAAGCUCAAUCAGUCCUUUGUUUCAACUCUCACUUUUAUAUCGAAAAUCAGGGCUUGAAGAGCUUGACCUCCUGUAUCACAAACAGCAGUACAACAGACGUUGGAGAGGAAGAUCUAACAAACAUAAACAUAAAAGAAAGGAACGAAGAACAGAAAGACUGUAACCUGGAAGUUGUAACACUGACUAAUCAACACCGAUACGAGAUGCGAAGCAACUAUAAGAUGACGUUAGAGCAAGUGGAGGCUAACCAAGUUACCAUGAGGACAGACAUCAAUGCGAUCUAAGAGAAAAUGGAUCAACUAUUAGAAAUAAUGCUCGCAAUCACCCAAAGAUAGAGGGUUGUGGAUGCAGAAGCUGGGGCAAGGAGGAAUGAUAGCACAUCAGGAUUAGUCCAACAAGACGAGAGCUUCAUCCACGCCAAGAAGAGUCUGGUUCAUAUACCAGUAGGAGGCAAAGGGGAUGGGGAUCGUGCAGAGCCUUUUGAGGCGCCUGCUCAUUAUGGGUCUGAAAUGGGAGAUGACCCGUACGACGCUUUCUAUGUGUGAUAAUGCGAAAAUACAUCGUAUUAUUGCCUUGAUUUA